rnacentral:lncRNA from 1 species
GCUAGCUGUUCAGAGGUCAGGCGCUGGUCAGAACAUGAGGAAGGAGGAACACGGUGGCCAUAUCUGAAGUGAUCUAGUAAACAGGAGACAUUUCCUCCAGGAAGUCUGUAGUGGGUAAGACCCAGUUACUACCCUUGAGGAAAGGAAGGUGAUGGGAACUAGCAUCUAUUAUGCACUGUGUGCCAGACUUGAGUAAACACUUCCAAGUCCUGUUCCUUGACUCCUAUGAGGUUAGUAACUUUUAUCAUCGCCAUUUUAAAGGAAGGCUCAGAGGCACUCUGCAGUCACACAGCUGGAGGGGUGCAGUGAGACGCGGAGGCUCCAAGUCUCUUCUGGACUAGGCCUGGAUCUGCCACCUCUUCUUUCGGCUGUGGAUGGCCCUGGGAGACACGCCUGGCCUCAGAUGCCCCUUGACCCAACUGGAGGAAGGGUGGGGGGCCCAGCAGAAAAGCCUGCAGCCUCCCUGGGCACCGUUUCAAAGCUGAUGCUGCUCUCCCUGCUCUGGGUCUCAGCUCCUCCCCUCUUCUGCAUUGUUGACCAACAGCCUGGGUCUGACGCGGAAGCAGAAGAAUUCCCAUUCAACUGGGCCCCAGGGAUGGGGGGCCUCUCUGCCAGUAAGUGACACCCUCUGCUACUGAAAGGCCUCAUGUUCCUGCCCUGCCAAGCCUGGGGUGGCCACCACGUGACAGCACCAGGGACACGUGUCUUCUGGGACCGCUUGUGAGCUGGGUGGCUGGCAAGUUUGUUUCUCCAUGUCCCGCAGCAGGGGCAAGGGUGUGGGUGGUCAUAAUGCACCAGGGCUCUGGGCGGGCUGAGCAGAGUGCAGUUCCUGCUGCCAGCCCCGAUAUGGCACGGACAGCUGGAAAAACUGACCAUGUGGCUUGACUAUCUCAGAGGAUUGCUCCAUUUUUCCUCAGCAUAAUUUUUCCAUGAAUAAUCUUUAAAGCUCUUUAAGUGGCUGUUUCUUUAGCAGUUUUAUUGGAACAUAUGAGAACUGACAGUCUCUGUGGGGAACGAGAUAUCAUGUUGAAAAAAAAUCUGGUUUUCAUUACACUUCUUUCAAGAAAGCAACAGGCUGCCCAACAGACCUCUCAUUGAUUGGAAGAGAAAUGAGCCCAGAGCCUCCUAACAACAGCCUUGGAGUGGACAGGAUGAUGAACAGUGAUGCCAAAGACUCAGGAUCUGAAGGCAGACAGGCCUGGUCCACCACCUGUGUCUGCCAUUUGCAGGAUGAGUGACCUUGAGUAGGUCACCUCACACCUCUGAACCUGAAUUCUACAUCUGCAAAACAGGAAUGAUGACCCUGACUGACAGCCUCCCUGUGAGGAGUAAGCCAUACAGCAUCCCUCCCUCCUUCACGUGACAAACUUUUCCUGAGUCCUGACCUCGGGGGCAGGAGCUGGAGAUACUACACUGGAUUAGAAAGAUGAGUUUCCAGUCAAGUGUGGGAGAGAGAAGUAGCCAGGAUGUAGAACCUGACAAGGGAAGAGUUCAGGAACUUGCCCAGUUGAGCAGCCAGUGAACGGGACAGCCCUGAGCACGGUGCACGUGAGAACACAGAGGGGACCCCUGGAGGGCCUGAUGUCCAGAUUCCUAGGCCACGGGGAGCGCGGAGCAGCAGAUGCUGGGGGAGCCGCUGGUACUCGUGAGGAGCUGGGCCACAUCCAGGCAGGGUGUUGGCCAGAGGUUCUGGGGUGGCUCGUGAGUGACAGCAGUACUGGUAUGCUGGUGAGUGCCUCAGCAGGAGCUCCCUCUGUCCCCCUACCAACUCCCCGAUGUCUGGACGGCACCAGAGCCCGCCUGGGAGGCCACGAGCUAACACUCUCAAGAGGAAAACAGGGGGAUCAAACCAAUGACCCAAGGGCCUACAGCUAAGAACUGCUGGAGCCAGGCUCUGAACUGAGCUCUGCCUGACUCCAGAGGUGGUUUCUACCACCAGGCAAUACAACAGGGAGACACGCAGGUGUGUCAGAGAGCAGUCCUCACAGUGCGAGCACAGAAACCAGAGGCCAAGGCUGAAGAUUUUCCUGGACUCGCGGUGCUGCCCAGGAAUCUUCUGAGAAAACCUGUCAGUUGCCUAUUUGUUGGUGUGGAACUGCCUGUGAAGUCAUUCUGCAGGGGUGGAAAGUGGGGGCCAGCUCUCUGUGGGCAACAGGGACCAUCCCAGAGACAAAGGGCAGCCUCAGCCCACAGACCACUUCGGACUUGAAUCAAGGCCUCAAAGGGCGAGACCUGGGCCACUGUCAAUGUGAGGGCAGGGCUGAAGCCAGGGAUUUGGAAAAUUGGUGGAAAACACUCCUAUGAGCUGGGGCUUGCUCUGCUGUGGAAAACUGCCAGCAUCAGCACUUCUCCCAAGGCUGUGCCGAGUCAGCAGUCAGCCCACUCUGGAGCUGCCUCUGAGGACCAGGUGCCUACAGGACCCUGUAAGGAGCUUGAAGAGUUGUGGCUGACGGAGGGAUUUCUGUCCUGGGCUCUAGGAAUUCUAGACUGGGCCCUUCCUCAAGGAGCUUUCAGUCUGGCGGAGCAGACAGACAUGGGCAAAUAAGCCCACAACUAACUGUGCCAUCACUGCAGAAGGAAGUGCCACGGAGGAGCAUGAGGGCCAGUUGCAGGAAGGAGCCAGGGCCAGCAUGUGCCUGUAAAAGCCAGAUAGUAAAUAGUUCACGCUCUGCAGGCCACAGGGUCUUUGUCCCAAGCACUCAACUCUGCCACUGCUGCAUGAAAACAGCCACAGGCGAUAUGUCAACCAAAGAGGGGUGGUUGUGCCCAUAUGAAAACAGAGGGUGGAUCUGUCCCACAGUUUGCCACAGCCUGGCUGUUAGACGGCCUGACCUGAUUGGGGGUGGGGGUGAUAGUGGGGAGAAGGCUUCCCCGAGGCAGUGAUAUUUAGCUAAAAGCUGCAGGCUGAGGCAAUGAUGGAGGCAGAAUCACAAUAUGACAAUUAUGAUAAUCACAUCACCAUGAUCAAGUUCCACCUAACACGUGUGUUCUAUGUUGCGCACUGUGCUAAUAACAACACUACCCUGUGAAGGAGGAAGAUUUUAUGCCCACUUUACAGAUAGAGACACUGAGGCUUGGCAGUAUGCUGAGUAGUCUGUUCACACAAUUCAGCUGCAUUUUUUGC